rnacentral:rRNA from 1 species
UGGCGGCAGGCCUAACACAUGCAAGUCGAGCGCAGUCCUUCGGGACCGAGCGGCGGACGGGUUAGUAACGCGUGGGAACAUACCCUUUUCUACGGAAUAGCCUCGGGAAACUGAGAGUAAUACCGUAUAAGCCCUUCGGGGGAAAGAUUUAUCGGGAAAGGAUUGGCCCGCGUUAGAUUAGAUAGUUGGUGGGGUAAUGGCCUACCAAGUCUACGAUCUAUAGCUGGUUUUAGAGGAUGAUCAGCAACACUGGGACUGAGACACGGCCCAGACUCCUACGGGAGGCAGCAGUGGGGAAUCUUAGACAAUGGGCGCAAGCCUGAUCUAGCCAUGCCGCGUGUGUGAUGAAGGUCUUAGGAUCGUAAAGCACUUUCGCCAGGGAUGAUAAUGACAGUACCUGGUAAAGAAACCCCGGCUAACUCCGUGCCAGCAGCCGCGGUAAUACGGAGGGGGUUAGCGUUGUUCGGAAUUACUGGGCGUAAAGCGUACGUAGGCGGAUCAGAAAGUUAGGGGUGAAAUCCCGAGGCUCAACCUCGGAACUGCCUCUAAAACUCCUGGUCUUGAGUUCGAGAGAGGUGAGUGGAAUUCCAAGUGUAGAGGUGAAAUUCGUAGAUAUUUGGAGGAACACCAGUGGCGAAGGCGGCUCACUGGCUCGAUACUGACGCUGAGGUACGAAAGUGUGGGGAGCAAACAGGAUUAGAUACCCUGGUAGUCCACACCGUAAACGAUGAAUGCCAGUCGUCGGGCAGUAUACUGUUCGGUGACACACCUAACGGAUUAAGCAUCCG